rnacentral:rRNA from 1 species
GCGAGUUNUAGGGUUCGGNCCUCGGCUGACGGCUCNUUAACACGUGGAUAAUUUGCCCUAAGGCGGAGGAUAACCUCGGGAAACUGAGAAUAAUACUCCAUAGGCCUAAGAUACUGGAAUGUACUUAGGCUCAAAACUCCGGUGUUUUAGGAUGAGUCUGCGGACUAUCAGGUUGUAGUCAGGGUAAAGACCUGACUAGCCUACGACGGAUAUGGGUUGUGAGAGCAAUAACCCAGAGAUGAUAUCUGAGACGCGAUAUCAGGCCCUACGGGGCGCAGCAGGCGCGAAAACUUCACACUGUGCGAAAGCGCGAUGAGGGAAUCCCAAGUGUAUGCACGUAAGUGUAUACUGUUUCUAUGUUUAAAAAGCAGAGAGAGUAAGGGCUGGGUAAGACGGGUGCCAGCCGCCGCGGUAAUACCUGCAGCUCUAGUGGUGAUCAUUAUUAUUGGGCCUAAAACGUCCGUAGCCGGUUUAGUAAAUGCCCGGGUAAAUCGUGUANCUCNACUAUACGACUUCCNGGUANACUGCUGAACUUGAGAUCGGGAGAGGUUAGAGGUCCUCNGGGGGGUAGAAGNGAAAUUCUGUNNUCCUGNGNGGACCNCCUUUGGUGAAUG